GAUUGUUAGUCACAUGAUCGGUUCAGCCAUUUUCCUGGAAACAAGCUAGAGAACAGCAUGCUUCGAGUCCUCACUUCAUCUUGCUCCAUCUGCCUGUUUUAACCUUGGGAAAGCUUUGUUUUUUUACACUUCAACAACUUGAUCACAUUGAGUGCCGUGUCUUCAAUAAACGGACGUACAAGUGCACGUUGACAACCAA